rnacentral:rRNA from 1 species
UUGGAGGGCAAGUCUGGUGCCAGCAGCCGCGGUAAUUCCAGCUCCAAUAGCGUAUAUUAAAGUUGUUGCAGUUAAAAAGCUCGUAGUUGAAUUUCGGGAUCAAUUUGCCGGUCGAGACCUCUGGUACGUACUUGUAUUAUUGAUUUCUUUCAUUCUGAUAAAUCAUUGAUGUCAUUAAUUUGAUGACUUUGAGGAAUCGGAACUUUUACUUUGAAAAAAUUAGAGUGUUUAAAGCAGGCUUAUUAGGCUUGAAUACAUUAGCAUGGAAUAAUGAAAUAGGACGAUUGAUCCUAUUUUUGUUGGUUUCUAGGAUUGACGUAAUGAUUAAUAGGGAUAGUUGGGGGCAUUAGUAUUCAAUUGUCAGAGGUGAAAUUCUUGGAUUUAUUGAAGACUAACUACUGCGAAAGCAUUUGCCAAGGAUGUUUUCAUUAAUCAAGAACGAAAGUUAGGGGAUCGAAGACGAUCAGAUACCGUCGUAGUCUUAACCAUAAACUAUGCCGACUAGGGAUCGGAUGAUGUUAAUUUUUUAAUGACUCAUUCGGCGCCUUACGGGAAAC